GAUGAACGCUAGCUACAGGCUUAACGCAUGCAAGUCGCGGGGCAGCAUGGGGGUUGCUUGCAAUCCCCGAUGGCGACCGGCGCACGGGUGAGUAACGCGUAUCCAACCUGCCCUUCACCACGGGAUAACCCGGCGAAAGUCGGACUAAUACCGUAUGUUGUCCAUUGACGGCAUCCGAUUUGGACGAAAGGCUUGGCGGUGAGGGAUGGGGAUGCGUCCGAUUAGCCAGACGGCGGGGUAACGGCCCACCGUGGCUACGAUCGGUAGGGGUUCUGAGAGGAAGGUCCCCCACACUGGAACUGAGACACGGUCCAGACUCCUACGGGAGGCAGCAGUGAGGAAUAUUGGUCAAUGGGCGUAAGCCUGAACCAGCCAAGUAGCGUGCAGGAUGACGGCCCUAUGGGUUGUAAACUGCUUUUAUGCGGGGAUAAAGUGGCCCACGUGUGGGCUUUUGCAGGUACCGCAUGAAUAAGGACCGGCUAAUUCCG
rnacentral:rRNA from 1 species